AGGGUUUUGGCCAAGCCUGAACAGGCUGACCUGACUCCCCCUCCCCACCUCCGAACAAGGGAAGGAAGGAGGCGACGGUCUGGGGUGGCAGGGCAGACUGGGGCAGGGGCGAGAAGGCCCUGUUGAGGGUAGAGGACUCCGGAGUCCUGGCCUGGAAACAGCAGGCUCCGGGGAGCCCUGGCGGUGGCUGCAUCUGGGGACCAAGGAGGAAGAGGAGGCACCAGCUAAUGCUGCCAGGAGAAGCAGGGGCCGAUGCUGCGCCUGGAGGAAGGGAGGUUGCGGAUGGACGAAUCCCCGGAACCGGAGAGGGAAGAGAGGCUGCUGACUCUGCUGGGCCUGGUAGGCACAGCACUCAACCUGCUGGUCCUCGUCUGUGUCUACGUCUACACCACCCUCUGAGCUGACGUCACCAACUUGGGGCGGGGCCCGGGAAAACCCUCUAAGGUUUUCCUUAGAGUCUAUGGAGCUGGAGGCGGGGCCGGGGAGCAGGGAUGGGGCUUGGAAACAC
rnacentral:lncRNA from 1 species